rnacentral:rRNA from 1 species
GAGUUUGAUCAUGGCUCAGAUUGAACGCUGGCGGCAUGCCUUACACAUGCAAGUCGAACGGCAGCACGGGAGCUUGCUCCUGGUGGCGAGUGGCGAACGGGUGAGUAAUGCAUCGGAACGUAUCCUGGAGUGGGGGAUAACGUAGCGAAAGUUACGCUAAUACCGCAUAUUCUGUGAGCAGGAAAGCGGGGGACCUUCGGGCCUCGCGCUCUUGGAGCGGCCGAUGUCGGAUUAGCUAGUUGGUGAGGUAAAGGCUCAUCAAGGCGACGAUCCGUAGCAGGUCUGAGAGGAUGAUCUGCCACACUGGAACUGAGACACGGUCCAGACUCCUACGGGAGGCAGCAGUGGGGAAUUUUGGACAAUGGGGGCAACCCUGAUCCAGCCAUGCCGCGUGAGUGAAGAAGGCCUCGGUUGUAAG